CCUCCCUGACGCCCGUGGGCACGUUCAGGGCGGGGCCUCAGGGUCGCCUUCCUUAACCUCGCCUUGCCUGGACCAGUGUCAGAAGCUGAGGAUGCAGGAUGCACUGAGUUCCCGGAAGGGGAGACCCCACCACCACCCCUGGGCUGUACUCGCACAAACACCAGGCACAAGCAGUCUAACAGAGAAGACUUCCAGAAGGAGCCCCACUGUCACCCACAUGGUGACAGUUGAGUGGGGGUUUAUAAGGGAUCAACUAAGACCAUUACCCAGAGGGAGCGGAGACAAAAGGACUCUUAAGCCCUGAAAAGAACAAGGGAACCUGUCUGAUGACCUGAAGAUUACCAAUGCAGGCGAGUGGUGGGAGCAGCUCAGCGCCAGGGUUCUUGCUAAACCUGUGCGAGGGUCUACAUUCAAGGUCCAGCGCUUCAGAGUUGUUAGGACAGGAAGCAGAACUAUCCGUGGGAGGAGCAAGAUUUAGAGGUCCAGUUGGUAGCAAGAAUUAGGGCUCUAAGAAAAGUCUCUGUUUAUCUGGAAAACUCCAGGCUCAGAGGAGAGAAGGGGCUUCCUUGUCUGCAACUGUAUGUAGUAGGUAUCUGAGGUCGCCAGCAACCCAGUGUUCUCUGACUCAGGGCCUAUCUGCUGCCUCUCCUGGACAACACAGACAUCUCUUGUGAGCACAUUUGACAGUGAAGCUGGGCUCACUGGGAAUUGCAAUGAAAUUGUCUCUAGCAAAGAAUUCUGCAGAUAAAGGCUGUGGUAAAAGAAUGACAGGAGAGAUUCAGUGGGCCCAGCCUUAGAAUGUGACAUACCGAGGAAGGUUCAGGGGGCCCUGGCCUCAGUUAGUGAAGGCAGAACUGGUUAUCCCUAGGAAAUAAACCGGGGGCGGGAGGUGGAGGGCGCAAUGUCAGGCAGCCCUCCAGGCCCUGGAGGUGACAAGCCUUGAGAUACUGAUGGGGGUCUGCUACCGGACUUGGAAAACAGUAAAGGCAAGUGACACCCGAGGGAGCGUGUAUCUGCUGUACGUUGGAGCCAUGAUGAAGCUGAACAGGAUGGCCCAUGACUGUGAUCCCAGCACUAAUGCCAGCCUGGGGUACACAGUGAGUGCCAAGUCAGCUGGGGUACAUAACAAGACCCUGUCUCAAAACACCAUGACCUGGCCCUAGUCCUGCAUGUGUCUGCCUUGGAUGCUUCUCCACUGUGCUGUGCCUCCUAUUCCACUGGAAGUCUGGCUCUGCUCACACAUUGUACUCAGAAGCACUUCCUGGGGCCUGCUCAGAGCUAAGGCUUCUGUGGCAACAGCCUGCCCAUCCGCAGGCCUACACACUGCUGCAUGUAUGCAGAUUCUUAGAAGAAAAAAAAAAGUCUUCAGAAUCCAUUCAGGCUGUCAACAUCAUCCCCACAGCAAGAAAAGCUACCGAGGACCAUUGAAAUGGUGCACAACUCUUGGAGCCUCCUUAUCCUGCACACCUAUCAGCUUGCUAUGUCAUCUCCAGGGAAGUACAAACAGCCACAUGUUCCCUGAGGUAAACUGACCAGUUAUCAAGAACACUAACUUGGUGGGAUUUAGAAUCACCAUGAAAGCAAGUCCCUGGGCAUGUUGGUAAGAGAUGCACUAGAGUGGGUUAAUUGAGGUUGGCAGAGCCAACCAAACAUGGGCAGUACUUUUCUAUGGGCUUGGGUCACCGGCUGAAUAGAAAGAAAGUAGACUGGACACAGCCUUCAUCAUGCCCUGCUUCCGUGGUUGUGCCAUCAGCAUCACACUUCUCCCUGCAUGGGUCCCCUGCCAUCAUAGACCAUAUCCUGAAACUGUGAGUCGAAAUAAACACUUUCUCCGCUUUGUUGCU